GCUUGUCUCUUCUGCAUCUCGUUUUGUUAUCGUGUCAUUUCCAUUGUUGCCGCUCCUAGGGGUCGCCGAGAGUUGCUGCCAAAUGUUAUGUCCGUGUCUCCCAAGUCGGGUGUGUAUGUCACUGCUGUAUUGCGUUAAGUGUGAUCGGGAAUCAAAAGAGAACCACCACUACCACCGUGAGGUGGUGGCUAGCACCUCUGACCAAUGCCUUCCACCACAAGGGUGGCUAAGCGUGUGUGCAUGUUUUAUGUUGUGGGUGUGUUUAUUUUAGGAUAUUAUGUUGUAUAAUCAGAUUUUUGGCUGGUAUAAUCAAGAAAAUCGCCACCACCACAACCAUGAUGUGGUGGCUANACCACCACCAGCUACUGUGUUGGGUGGCGGUGUGCAUUUAUGUGUGACUGGAUUGUUAAAUGUGUUACUUGGACAUGUUUUGGACUAGAAUCAUAGUCACCACUUCCACGAAGUGGUGGAUGCCGCCGUUGACCACCACUACCCAAGGUGGUAGUGGGUGGUGCCAGACUUAUUUAACCCUAAUUGACCUAAUGAAGCCCUAAUUGACCUAAAAACCAAAUCCUUUGACUAAUUGGCACACGAUUGGGUUGGAAACCCUAAUUAAGGUUUAUAAAACCCUAAUUUUGGAUUUGUUAGUUUGGAAUUGUUAGGACCCACGAUGCCGCCGUUGACCACCACUACCCAAGGUGGUAGUGGGUGGUGCCAGACUUAUUUAACCCUAAUUGACCUAAUGAAGCCCUAAUUGACCUAAAAACCAAAUCCUUUGACUAAUUGGCACACGAUUGGGUUGGAAACCCUAAUUAAGGU
rnacentral:lncRNA from 1 species